GACAGGAGGGUUCCAACUGAGAGCCUGGUCCUCUUCCUACCUGGCCACUCUCUUACAUUUGGGACCAUCUGCAGGGCUUGGGAGGAUGGAAACACAAAGCCGGCAUAGAAUACUACUGACCCUCCCCACAAUGUCAAGAACUACGUCACAUAGGGAAACACACAAAGUAGCUAAUUCUGUCAAAGCCGCACCAGAAGGAUCCAGAAUAGGAUCUUACUAUUGAGGGCACUGCUGGGCUGGGUGCCCAAAUACUCUUUUUGGCCCCUUGGCUCUCUGGACCACAGCAUGUACCCAGGGAAGACAUAUGCCUCUGCACCCCAGAUGGAAGACAGUUCCCAAAGAGUUAUCUGAAUUUGAUGGUACCCUUUACAGACAAAUAUGAAAGAACAGGUUCAUAGGCGUGGUUUCUAUGUGCUGAGAUCUAUCAAUAGGCCUCCAAAUUAACAAACCUUUGUGCUGGACUUUAACUUUGUGACCCCAUGGUGCUUCCCACACUAGAGUGCUCCGAAGUCAAGGAGAGCAAGGAGACAGGUCCUCUGGGGCUCAGCUGGAGGAACUGCAAAUGGAGUCACUUCCUUAAGGCCUCACACAGCACGGGACACCACAAGCAUGGCACAGCCCCCUGCUAUCCCACACAAAACUGACAUGACAGUAAUUUUCAGGAGGUUUUUAUUUUUAAUGGAUAAAAAGUUUACUUAAAAGAAUUUUUCAUGAAUGAUAAGAGAAAUGACUUGUAACAAAACUAUAAACUGGGAGGGACCUUCUAGUGGAUGCCCAUGUGGGCUCCGGGCCGCUCUAAUUUAUUCUCAGUACUUUUAAUCCAGUGAAUAUUUUGUAAAGGGAGUUAUUUUUUGUAUUAAGGAAACAAUAGAAAGCCAGGCAGGAGCAUAAUAACUAAAAAGACUUGUUUUCUUUUCUGUCUCAGUCCACGUUCCCACCCUUGCCCUUUUGAUAGAAAGAAGACAGAAUAAAAUAUGUUCAUUAUUGUCCGUUUCUCAGCAGAGGCACAGAGGGUAGGACUGCCAACAGGGGUCCCCUACCUACCCCCCACAGCCAUGUGCAUGCCUCUCUGCCAGCCCCCUUUAAAGUUUACAGUGACAGAGAAACUUCUCAGAUUAAACCCUUCAUAGGCCACACAGGAGCUUCUACCUGGUGGCAGCGUAGACAACAGCCUACUGCUUGAUCCUGCCACUUCCUGAGGCUUCGAAGUGAAACCUCUUAGUUCUCAGUGAAAUUGAACAUUUUUAUUUAAUUUAUCACCAUUAUCAUCAUCACCACCACCCCCCUGAUCAUCAUAUUUGUACCUGUGCAUGUGUGCACACAUGAGUACAUGCACACGUGGGUGCAAGAUCAGAGGAAAGCCUUCAGGGUUUGGUCUUCUCUUUCCACUGUGUUGUCUGGGGUUUGAACUUGGGUUUUCAGGUUUGUGCGGCAAGUGCUUUUACCUGCUGGGCCAUCUAGUAGUCCUGUCUGCGAAGUGUUCACAGGAAGCCCAGGCAAAAGCUGACGCGGAACCUUGUCGCUGUCUGCAUGCAUUUGGGUUUAGGGCAUAUAUUCUCAUGUUUCUAGAGAUAAAAGCUGUGAUUUCUCUAGGUUAUUUCUGAGCUGGCUUCCCAAAUGCAACUGCACCACCUGGACACUUGGCUGUUAGGUAACUGUCUGUUCCAUGAGUAGAAGUAGCCAUAAGGACGAGCUAGCUUAACCUGACAGCUAAGGUGUCCAGCCCGAGGGCCCAAGCGAGGGCUGAGCAGACAGACUCUCCUGAAGGUUUCUCCACCAUGCUAAGGGAAAGAGCAGCCCCUUACAUUAUCAGUCAGGAGACAACCGGCUUCAUACUCUUAGAGAUGCCCUUGGAAUCCAUCAGCCCUCUAAUGUGACGAGUGGUCUCUGGGGGUCUGUACCUCUAUUCUGCUAUUACUAACAGCAAAGCUGCAAACGCAAGCCUGCUCUGUCGAGCUAACCCCACAUCCUCUGAUAACACCGCAUUAGGAUCAUCAACAUCCAGCCCUGUGCCUAGCCCAUUUGACUCUGCAUCUGACAUCUAGCUCAUCUUUCUAGGACUUGGGGCUUUGAACAGCUGAGUCAUCAAAGGGCCAAAGACUCCAGCCGCACAGAAGAGAUGGAAGACUGUGCCAUAUGCAGCAUCUCUUUUCCGUAUGGGUACCGCUAGGUACUUCUUAGCAUAGGCCGUGCCGUGUUGGGGUAAGCCCAUCCAGGGUGUGUACUCUGAGGGUGUCUGCUGAGAUCAGGAGGUACUUUGCGUAAACUGUGUCAUUCACUAUCAGAGUGCCUCUGCUUCGGUCCCACUGUGGGCUAAAAGAAUUUCUAUCCUGUCCUCACACACAUUUUGAGCUUACAUCUUAGGGAAGGUGAUGGGUAAUGCCAACACUUCCUUUCCCACAGUGAGCUCUUCGUUUAAAGGAUAAGAGACAAGCAUAACUAACCUUGCAUCAACACACAGUAUUGGCGGGACAUUCUCUUCCCACACUGCAUCUUAUUCCAUCUAAUACAAUGCAUAUAGCAUCCUGAUUAAUCCCCACAUGGUAAUCCUGUGAGAAAGACAUUAUCUCUUCUUUGGACACUGAGGAAAUCGAAGCAUAGAGGUUGGGUAGGAAAACAGCCCAACGGCAGAGAAGUAAGGAAACCUACCUUCAAGCAUACUCCACUGUGUACCUCACUAAAGCUCCAUCUUUGGUGUGUUAUUGCUCUCUUGCCUUUGGGACACCUAAACAUGCAUGCUCACCUACACAUAUGCAAUUGAGUGGAGGAGGGGUGUGUAGAGACAAGACUUCCGUGGUACUCUCCAAUGGCAGCAGGGAGUGGAGAGAGCCUUCCAGUGGCAUCAAUGAGGUAUUUAGUUGGGUGUGGGAUCCAGGGAGUCUCCUUGUCUUCUAAUGUUCCUGUUUUAAGUAUUGACAGAUGGGUUUGUAAUACCAUGUCUCUAAGACUCCUUUGGGCUUCGACAUGGCAGCACAAACACCUUGCAUGUCCACUACCAUUGACUGUGGUGAAUGACCACACAUGUCCCAGCUGUCCUUGAGGGGAGCCAGGAGGAGUGCAGGGGAAAGCAGCUUCACUCCUAUACCCCUCCUGGACCGUCCACGCCACAGGACCUCCAAUUCAGACACACAAAGAACAAAAUUCCUGGUACAAGGGCAGUGCUCCCAGCCAGAUGGAUACAAUCAGGCCCGCGUGGAGGCUUUCUAUUUGCCGCUAGGAUUCCAGCUAGGGGCACCUGCUGUGUAGUAUUUUGAGAAAGGCUGUUCAGUCUUGAAACUGAAAACUCAUUAAGCAUCAUCUACAAGAUUUCACACUGCAUGCAAAUCACUUCCUGCUGCCCUUGGUCAACUCAGAAAGCAGUAGCUUUUUCUCUUUCCAAUUUCCCUGCCGAUUCCCUUCACAGCCCAUGGCCUCUGAGUUACUCGUGGAAUCUCAGUUAAAAGUCAGUUCUCAGAAAGCCCUUUCAAUAUGGAAGUACCAGGUUACCAUUAGGUAAGGGUGUGUUUUACAGAUGAUGGUGGCAAGACACCUUUCCAAAGUCUGGGUACUGCCUGUGAAGACAGGCACACCAGUGUCCCCAGAUCCCUUGUAAAACCACAUUUCCCUAGAAACAGCUAUGUCUCUUACAUACUAGCUGUUUUGUUUAUUUUAACCAUAAGAUAUUGGACUAUAAAAAAAAUCUGAUCAAUAGGGUAUUUAUAUCUAUAUUUUAAAUGUACUCUAGCUAUAAUUAUAACUAUUAAAUAUUAGCAACAGUAUUCUCCACUAAAUAAAUUUUGUCUUGUUUACUUUUCAUAAGGACACAAAAUUGAGUGGUAUUCAGACUUUUAGAGACACAUUCAGACUAAAUAACACUGCAAUAGGCAGGCUGGCCCCGCUUACAUUUCAAGGUGGCUAUGCCCUAAUGACACAUCAUGGAGGAGAUAAGGACACAACAAUUAAGCCCAGCUAAUCAGGGAACAUGAAUAUUUCAGUGCACGCUAAAUACAAAUGUGAUCCCUGGGGCAGAACAUCCCCCACCGAGAAUCACACGAACAUGAGUAACAGAGUUUCUCGACAAGGACUGCAUUGUUCAUAAAUUUUUAUAUCGAUCCAAUUUAGCAGGUAUUGAAUUCCCCAUUCUAGAGAAAACCAAGUAGUUUUAAUGGUGCAACAGUCAAUAAACUCCACAGAUCAGAAUAGGCCAGUGUAAUUUUAUGGUGACAGCUGAAGCACUCUGAAGGACCCUAGGCUUUUGGGUUUUUGUUUUUUGUGGAAGGAAAACAAUGUCUUUUCCUGGGGAAAGCAGGUGAAGGUUCAGAGAGCACGUGUUUGCACAUCUGCACACAUGCACACAAACACACACAGGGCUUCUUCACUUGUCACUCAAGGAAUAUGCUUCCAGACUUUCAAUUAAAGUAUAGGGCCAGAUGUUAUGCUGCGUAUUCAAGAAUUCAGGACAAUUAUUUCUAAAUGUAUUCCCAGCUUCUUAAAGAUACCUUAAUGUGCAUUAUUUCAUUUAAAUAAAAUACUCGUCAAAGGCUUGCUGCCAGGACAUGCCCCUAUUCCUGUCAAGGUACAGGCAAGUCCUGGCUGGCUUGACUUCCCCAAGGCAUGCUGACAGAUGGGCCACUGCCCAGAUGCCUCCUAUAGCUAAUUCAAAGCCUCUGGCCAGAGGAGAGGAGCCAGACUUCAACUCUACUCCUAGCUGGCUCUUGAACAGCCUUGCUGAUAGCUUCAGAGAAAGUGAGAGGCCAGAAGAGACGAAAGGAUUAGGAUUCAAAUUCUCUCUCUUUGCACAGGACCAUAGCCUAGUCAGUAUCAUCCAACCCUGGAACACCUUGAUCUCGAGCAGGAAGAAUAUUGGAAAGAGCAGUGUGGAGGCAACUAAGGAGAGCGGCAGAAUAAUGGACGAGGUUAUUCAAAACCCCAUCCUUGGGGAACAUUCCUGAAGCCUCACUCUACUCAUCUGUAGACGGGCACAAUGCUGAUGCAUGCAGAGCUCUGAACUGCAAUGCAGUACCCAAUGCUGCAGGUAAAUUUCUGGACCACAAAGCCAGCUGCCACACAGAGGCAUGGCUGUGACCACCAUGGCCAUCGUGGCCAUGCGACUUCCGUUUAUCUCCUAAAAGGUGUCAAGGUAAAAUUGGACUUUGAAGGCACUAGUAGGUCAUUCUCCUGUCUUCCACUUUACACAAUCCCUGGUGAAGCAACCAAAUUGACUCUCCUCCACAGGGCGACCUAGAUCACACCAAUCACAGUAGGCUAUACUUUGCCUUUCAACAUGUGGAAUUGAAUCAUAAGCUCCCUGUCCCACUGGGUGGGCAGGUAGGCAGGAAGGCAGAGUGCAGCACAAGAAUCCUUGACAGCCUGGGAAGAGACAUCGCCCCACCACACCUAGUCCACACCCCACUUCCUGCCUGCUCCUGCCUUUUGAGGGGAGAUGCUCAAAACCUACACACCAACCUCAAAAGGAGCUACCACAUACAGUAUCUCAAAGACAAAAGAGAAAUGAAGAAUGUACUGUAAUCUAGCACACAAUGGUCUGUUCAUGUAAAGACAAAAGGUGAGCUAAAAAGCUGUGACACACACUGGGGGCGUGAGGCUGACACACACAAUACACACACAUACACACACGCAUGCACGCACACACUAUUAUGAACACACAUACACAAUAACUUGGUGAUUAUUAUUUCAUACAGGAAUGCAACAUUCCUCUGAUUCUUCUGACCAUCCCCAUCUAUCUUCCAUUGACCACCAGAGACAAGUUUUCCCUUUUAUUAUUUUUGUAUUUCUUUUUCACAGCACUUGGUGGUAUCUGACAUGGAUUUGCUUCAGUUUUUACUUUGGGAGUCUUGGAACCAGCCAGUGGACAAGACGGACGAUAUUUAUUGAAUGAAUAAAUAGAGGCAAAAUUAAAAUCCAAAGGAAAAAAUAGACAUUCUCCUUACUCAUACUAUCUACAGAUCAUAUAAUCUAUAUAAAAGCUGACAGGUAGGGCCGGGCAGUGGUGGCGCACACCUUUAAUCCCAGCACUUGGGAGGCAGAGGCAGGAGGAUUUCUGAGUUCGAGGACAGCCUGGUCUACAAAGUGAGUUCCAGGAUAGCCAGGGUUAUACAGAGAAACCCUGUCUCAAAAAACCAAAAAAAAGAAGAAGAAAAAAAAAAGCUGACAGGCUUUUUUUUUUUUUUUUUUUGUACAAAUACACUUACUAUAGCUUGUAUGAAACAGUGUGGUUAAAAUAGAACACCUUUUUACUUGCAAGUCUGCAAUAAGUGCAAGCAACAUUCCCAGACUAUCUCUGCAAGGUGUUCAGGUAGCUUUUUCAUGUCCUUCUCUCUGACCCCGUGAACAUGAUUACUUUCCUUGUCCCUGUUUACUGAGCAUUCUGGAGAAUAUAAAGAAGCCUACAUGUUACCACAGCCCUCUAUGUAGUGUAUCCAGGGAGGUAAAACACGGCUAGGAAGCUCUUAUGUUCUCUCUUUGAUGAUGUCUAAAGAAGGGAGAGGCUAUGAUGCAAGUAAAGGCAUCCUGGAGCCUAUAGCCAAGCAAGGCAGUUCCACCUGGAAGGAGUCUGUUCUUGUGAGCGAGCCAUGCACCCACCAAACCAGGGAUCCCCCUCCCCCAUCUGCCAGCGCUAGUCUAGCCAGGCCCUAUGUGCUUCUCAAUCCCUUGCUAAAUCCCAAAGCUGUCAGAGCUGCAGCUCCAUGCAAGCGAGCCACAGAAGCCUGCGGUUUAUGUCUGGCUAGACAGCAUUCCAGCCCCUUUCCUCAAGGAGUGCUUCUCCCUUGAAGCCAGCCUAUCCUCCCACUUUGUGUCUAGAAACCACAACACAACAGCAAUUUGGAUAGGCAUGCCACAGCUCAGCAUUAUUUUAGCACACAGCAUGGACCCUCCCUUCUCUCCUCCACUUGAAUUUUAUCGUUUACAGCCUUGCCAGUGCGCGUGUACUCUUACGAAAUGAUUUUCUUCUGUUUUCCUUCCUCUUAGUACCCAGGCCAACUCUGAAGUUAAUAGAGCAGGCACAGUUAGCAGACUUCGCUGACUAUAGGUGAGACAGCAAAAGGCACAGAGGAGACUCCUAAAUCUUCACUAUUCAGCUGUGACCGCACUCAUCGACACCCUGAGAAGGAACAAAGUAACAAGAGCCUACUAGCCUACUAGCUCAGGAAAGAAACACUGUGUUGGCCCCGGUAUCUGUGACUCCUCACAGUAAUGGGAAUAUGCUUCAUUUCCCGAUGUGUAGCAGCCAAGACCUGCGGCGAUGACAUAUCUGCGGGGCCUGAGACUAUGCAGAGAAUGGCAGCAACAGAGAUGGGCAUUAACUCCAAGUGACGGACACCAGACGGGAGAGCAUUCCCUCCCCUAGGCCAUCGGGCUGGGGCAGAAAAAAUAGAGAACCAGUGCCUUAAAUUUGAAAUCAAAUGUCUGGAUUCCUUACAGUCGUGACAUAUUUCCCCCUUCCUGCGACAGAGAAACCGGAUCUAGCAUUAUCGUCUUGCAUCUCUCAAUAACCAUCUUAAAGGAACCUCAACUCAUUCAAAAGUUGCCCAUUGACCCAAGAUUUUGAAAGUUAUGUGCAAGACAAAGGGCAAGCAGAAUGCACACUGGGCCACGGGGAAGCACCUGCCCAGGCAGUGAUGGCCUCUGAACAUUCUGCAGGGGACUCAGUAGAAGCAAUCAAAGAUGGUGUGCGCUGAACAAUGAAGACUAACGGAAACAAGGAAAUGUCUGCAUCCCUCCUCUCUUCUUUUCCCCAGCUCCCAGCCCAGAGCAUCCCAGGAUGGAAAUGUUGGAACUGUCACAUUCCCAGACCCGUUGUAUUCCAUCAGAGCCAGGGAAGAAGAGAUACCAAUUUCUCCUCCUUGGUGAGAAGUAAGGAGGGAGAGGGAAGGAAAUGAACCAGAGGGGGAGGGGAAGAGCACAGCAGAUGGAAAUGCCAUAUAUACACAUCGACAGCCAUUCUUCCAGAAGCCAAGAGACCCAGAAGGAGAAGGAACAACAAGGAAACGGCAGUGAGCAGAACAAGGUUUAAAGAACAAAACAGUCCCUUUGAAAGACAUUCCAUUACAGGCUUGGUUUUCCCCCUGUCCCCAGUUGUAUCAAAUCCUUGAAUGUCAUCUUCACACCUAUAAGCGGCAAUGGCAAGCAUCUUGAAAAGAAUACUCUUAUCCAGAUCCUGUUAUACUGCUCAGGUAUGGAAGUAAAAGUUCAGAAGUUCUCUAUGGGCUAUAGUGCCUAUGGGGAGACACAAGGGAGGGAGGUGGUGGCGGCUGCUGCUGUUGCUGUUUCUGCCUCUGUCUCUCUCUUCCUCUUCUUCUGCUCCCCCCUGCCCCCCCAAAAAAAACAAUGGUUCUCUGUGUAUCCCUGGCUAUCCUAGAGCUAGCUCUGUAGACCAGGCUGGUCUCAAACUCACAGAGAUCCACCUGCCUCUGCCUUUGAGUGCUGGGAUUAAGGGUGUGCACCACCUCCACCCUGCAAGGGCAGGCUUCUUAACAUGUACUGACUUCUGUUCCUGUGUUCAGCUGCCUUCUGAAGUUGGAUGCCCUAGGGGGAAAAAGUUAUGGAACCAGGCUCUCCUAAGUGAAUGUUUUGCAGGAACAACCGGAGGGCUGUCUCGAAAAGAAACCGCCUCAUUUCUUUAAUAGUAGCUAUUCAGACAGCAAGAGGCAAUUUAGAUACUAGCCAGCAAUAUGUGCAAGAUUGGCACAAAUAAUCCACUUCUAUUCUGUUCCAGCUAUUAUGCACUGCCCAACUUCAGUCUGGCUAAAUAGAGUAUUUUCUCCUGAGAUGAUAAGCACCUGACUCUUCAGCUACAGCCACAAUGAUAGCCGCAAUUACACAGGUAAACCACACACCCCAAAUUCUGCUACAAAUGUCAUAGGAUUUUAAGCAAAAUGCACAAAGGAUUCUCUGGUUGUUGUUAUUUGUUUUCCAAGGACAGGAGCAAAAUUGUCAUGGGCAGAAGUAGUUCAUAUGAGAAGUUGGAGAGGUGAUAAGGUGGGUAAAGUGUUUGUCACAUAAGCUGGAUGAGGAGAGGUGAUAAGGUGGGUAAAGUGUUUGUCACAUAAGCUGGAUGAUCUGAGUUGGAUCUCCAGACUCAACAUGAAGAUGGAUAGAGCGGUCAACUGUACAGAGCUGUUCUUUGACUUACACAUAUGAUGUAUUCUGGGACAUAUGCACCUGCAUAGAACACAUCACACACAGACACACACACACAUGCAUACAUGCAUGUGCAUACACACACAGAUGCACAUAUACAUGCAUACACACAGACACACACACACACAUAUACGAGAUGAUUUUUUAAAAGAGAAUUAAUAUGGUAUCUUAUUUUUUUCCUUUCUUUAUGUCAUACAAUUUACGUGGUUAUUUUAUUCACGAUUUCAUCUUCUUCCUUGUCUUUGAUGAACUGACUUUCUGUUCCAAGGUGCAAUCAUGUUUCUCCUGGAGAAUGAGGCAGCAUAUGUUUCUUUUUCUUUUUCUCAAGUAAGAAGUUAUAUUUCUGAAAAACUCACAAGUGCAUAUAUAAAAGGGAGCUUCACUUCUCCUUUGGUGUCAAUUGCUAAAUUACCUCAGUGACCAGUGUGUCUCUGCACACACCUAUUUCUUUAUCUGUCCUAUGAGUGCUAAUAUUGAUUCUACUGCAAUUCCCAGGGACAUGGAAGUCCGAGGGGGCUUCCAGAAGUGUUGUAUUACAAGCUUGUUGAAAAUGUUACAUGGCACGCUGAGCAGUGGUAGCACAUGCCUUUAAUCCCAGAAGUUGGGAGGCAGAGGCAGGCAGAUUUC